CCGUGAUCCAGGCAGAGUCAAGGGGCUCUGUGAGAUCCCGUUAAGAUUAGCUGAUGGCAAAACCAUAAAGGAUGGAAUAUCUUGUGCAAUUUUCAAAGGGGCCUUCUCCAAGCAAAGUGUGUCUGUGAAAUGCAACAGUAUUUCAAAACUAUUUCAUGGAGCAGCCACUCCGCUUUGAUUAAUAUCAGUGUCUUCUGAGCCAGCCAUUUUUGGGAGAUGCAUCUGCCAAGUGAAACUGAUUGGCCAUAAUUUGAUGAAGAGUCAAGGUGAAAUAUACACCUCCAAAAGAUAUUUUAUCAUGUUGCUGUUUUUUUCAAAAUGGGAACUGUCAAGGUGAAAAACCAGAACAAUUGAUUGGAAUAUGCUGAAGAACAUUCUCCAAAGAUCCAUCCAUGGGUCAGAUGACUUUGCAAUUUCUCCUUGAAGUAGCCAUUUUCUACAAGG